AAGCAGCAUGCAUCAAACACUGCAUAGAACCGAUUACCUGUCUCCCGAUCCCCAAACAGCUUAAAAACUGGUUUUUACUGUGAUGAAGGUUGCUGUGAAGGUACUGUGAUGUACCGGUGCUGGUCCUAUGUCGGCGUCGUACUUAUGCAGGUGAUUACCGUUGUCGACCCUGUGCCGUGCUGGUCCUACGCAUUGUCGGUCCUAUGGCUGGGCAGUAUUGGUUUCAUCUUUAUGUCUCUGCGAGUUAUAAGAAUAUACCUGUCUGUUCAGGAAGCAACACGGAAGCCGACUAGGGGUGGAUAACCGGACAAUGAAAGUGUCGACGUAGGAGAUAAAACUAACGACGUCAUGCUCUCCCAUCUUCGUCUUCCUUCGCUUCCUAGCUGGAGAACAGAUAAUUUACCACAAUGGGAAUAAAAGCGGAGAAUUGUGUGUUUCUGGAAACAAAUUUUUCCUGACAACGAAAAUGUCAUAUAUUUAUAAGACAUUUUAGUAGCAAAGUGAAACUAGUAUCACUAACUUCCCACUUUGAAUUUUCUACAGUCUGGCUUCCCCUCGGUUGUACUUUUAAAACUCUAAAUUAAAUAUUCUUUUUGCAUUUGUGGAUAUUUUUAUAUAUUCUCUUAACUAAUUUCAUAAAAUGAG